rnacentral:lncRNA from 1 species
UUUUCUUUUUUUUCUUCAUAUUAUCAACAUAAAGUACAUUAUCAUUAAGUGAUAGGAAUAGAAGAUCAUUAUCAACAAAAGUAUUUUCAUAAAAUUCGUUAGAAAAAUAAAUAGAACAACCAUUGUUCUUAACUUUUAUUUUUAAAUCUUGUUCUAGUAACAAGGGUACAGAAAUAAUAUUUCUAACAACUUUAGGAAUGUAAUAACAUGUCUUCAGUUCUAAAACUUAG